GUUGCGGUGGUUUCUCAUUCGCUUGGUGCAGGUCGGGACCUACCUCGCCGGCAACAAUGGCGGUAGCUGACGGCGACGGCAGCGUACCGGUAAAAAAGAAUCUUAUUUUUACAUGUUGUUGCGUAGUUUGGGUCCCGCCUUGCAUCAACUGAAUAGGAGACUGCGGUGAAU
rfam:Solanum lycopersicum cultivar Heinz 1706 chromosome 12, whole genome shotgun sequence.